rnacentral:rRNA from 1 species
GUGGGGAAUAUUGGACAAUGGGGGGAACCCUGAUCCAGCCAUGCCGCGUGUGUGAAGAAGGCCUUAUGGUUGUAAAGCACUUUAAGCGAGGAGGAGGAGCUCUAGGCUAAUAUCCUAGAUGCUUGGACGUUACUCGCAGAAUAAGCACCGGCUAACUCUGUGCCAGCAGCCGCGGUAAUACAGAGGGUGCGAGCGUUAAUCGGAUUUACUGGGCGUAAAGCGUACGUAGGCGGCUUUUUAAGUCGGAUGUGAAAUCCCUGAGCUUAACUUAGGAAUUGCAUUCGAUACUGGGAAGCUAGAGUAUGGGAGAGGAUGGUAGAAUUCCAGGUGUAGCGGUGAAAUGCGUAGAGAUCUGGAGGAAUACCGAUGGCGAAGGCAGCCAUCUGGCCUAAUACUGACGCUGAGGUACGAAAGCAUGGGGAGCAAACAGG